UACGUAGGGGGCUAGCGUUGUCCGGAAUCAUUGGGCGUAAAGAGCGUGUAGGCGGCCCGGUAAGUCCGCUGUGAAAGUCGGGGGGCUCAACCCUCGAAUGCCGGUGGAUACUGUCGGGCUAGAGUGCGGAAGAGGCGAGUGGAAUUCCUGGUGUAGCGGUGAAAUGCGCAGAUAUCAGGAAGAACACCCGUGGCGAAGGCGGCUCUCUGGGACGGUACUGACGCUGAGACGCGAAAGCGUGGGGAGCGAACAGG
rnacentral:rRNA from 1 species